rnacentral:rRNA from 1 species
GAUGAAUGCUGGCGGCGUGCCUAACACAUGCAAGUCGAGCGGCAGCGAGGGGUGCUUGCACCCUGUCGGCGAGCGGCGAACGGCUGAGUAACGCGUAGGAAUUUGCCCCAAAGUGAGGAAUAACUGCCCGAAAGGGUAGCUAAUGCCGCAUAUGGUCUUCGGAUUAAAGGAUUUAUCCGCUUUGGGAGAAGCCUGCGUUGGAUUAGGUUGUUGGUAGGGUAAUGGCCUACCAAGCCGACGAUCCAUAGCUGGUCUGAGAGGAUGAUCAGCUAGACUGGAACUGAGACACGGUCCAGACUCCUACGGGAGGCAGCAGUGAGGAAUCUUCCACAAUGGGCGAAAGCCUGAUGGAGCAACGCCGCGUGAAGGAUGAAGGCCUUCGGGUUGUAAACUUCUUUUAUGAGUGAAGAAUAUGACGGUAACUCAUGAAUAAGCACCGGCUAACUACGUG